rnacentral:rRNA from 1 species
GGGCCCGCACAAGCGGCGGAGCAUGCGGAUUAAUUCGAUGCAACGCGAAGAACCUUACCUGGGUUUGACAUACACCGGAAAGCCGUGGAGACACGGCCUCCGCAAGGUCGGUGUACAGGUGGUGCAUGGCUGUCGUCAGCUCGUGUCGUGAGAUGUUGGGUUAAGUCCCGCAACGAGCGCAACCCUUAUCCUACGUUGCCAGCGCGUUAUGGCGGGGACUCGUGGGAGACUGCCGGGGUCAACUCGGAGGAAGGUGGGGAUGACGUCAAGUCAUCAUGCCCCUUAUGUCCAGGGCUUCACACAUGCUACAAUGGCCGGUACAAAGGGCUGCGAUCCCGUGAGGGGGAGCGAAUCCCAAAAAGCCGGUCUCAGUUCGGAUUGGGGUCUGCAACUCGACCCCAUGAAGUCGGAGUCGCUAGUAAUCGCAGA